rnacentral:rRNA from 1 species
UGGGGAAUCUUGCGCAAUGCGCGAAAGCGUGACGCAGCAACGCCGCGUGGGGGAAGACGGCCUUCGGGUUGUAAACCCCUUUCAGUUGGGACGAAGCUUUGUCCGUUAAUAGCGGAUCGAAGUGACGGUACCUUUAGAAGAAGCUCCGGCUAACUACGUGCCAGCAGCCGCGGUAAUACGUAGGGAGCGAGCGUUGUCCGGAAUUAUUGGGCGUAAAGCGCGUGUAGGCUGUUCGAUAAGUCCGCUGUAAAAGUCAAGGGCUCAACCCUUGAAAGCCGGUGGAUACUGUCGAACUAGAGUGCGGAAGAGGCGAGUGGAAUUCCUGGUGUAGCGGUGAAAUGCGCAGAUAUCAGGAGGAACACCAAUUGCGAAGGCAGCUCGCUGGUACGCAACUGACGCUGAGACGCGAAAGCGUGGGGAGCAAACAGGAUUAGAUACCCGUGUAGUCC